GAAUGUGUGUGUGAAUGGGUGGAUGACAGGUUGUGUAAAGUGCUUUGGGGUCCUUAGGGACUAGAAAAGCGCUAUACAAAUACAGGCCAUUUACCAUUUGCACAUUACAAUACAAACAUUUGUGCUUCUGAAACCUAACUCAGCUCUCAGAACAAGCUGUGUGUUUCUGGAUGUAAUGUUAUGUGCCAACUCUCCUGUCUAGCUGUUUGUCUUUACUGAUGGAGAGGUGUGGGACACCAAAAAAGUGAUAGAUCUGGUAAAGAAGAACUCAGAUUCUCACAGGUGUUUCUCUUUUGGGAUUGUGGAAGGGGCCAGUUCUGCUCUCAUCAAUGGGAUGGCCAACGAAGGAGGAGGUCACGCUCAGUUCAUCACAGGGACUGACAGGAUGCAACCAAAAGUGAUGCAGUCGCUGUGAUUUGCUCUGCACCCUAUUGUCACAGUCAUAUGGGAUUUACCAAAGGAAGGGUCUGUCACUGUCCUCUCUCCACCAAUCACAAUACUUUUCAAGGGUCAGAGGUCACUGAUUUAUGCCCAGCUUACUGGACAGAGCUCAGAGGCAGCAGAGGGCUGUGUGACGGUGAAGUACAGCCUGGCAGGUCAUCCCUCUGAGAACCAGCUGCACUUCAGUCUCAGACCUGCAGAGGACACUGGGUACGAGGAUGAACUACUCUGGUCUGUUAAAUCUCCAAAAGGAACCAGUUCCUCUGAAGAGCAUUGAGGUGGAGCUGCAGGUGAGGGACCAUGUGGCUACAGUGGUCUCCACCCUGAACUACGAGAAUAAGGAGGACAAACCAUCAGAGGCUGUUUUUGUCUUCCCUCUGCCUGGAGAUGCUGCUGUCUGUCAUUUCAGUGCUAAGAUCAGACAGACACAGAUUGUAGCUGAGGUGAAGGAGAAACAGAAGGUGAGCUGGACAGUAAAUAUAACCUGAUUAUAAGUAAGACAAUAAUAAUGGAUUGGAUUUAUAUAGCACUUUUCAAGGCACCCAAAGUACUUUACAAUGCCACUAUUCAUUCACUCUCGCAUUCACACACUGGUGGAGGCAAGCUACUGUUGUAGCCACAGCUGCCCUGGGGCAGACUGACAGAUUAAUCUGAAAAUAUUGUUAUAAUAUCUACAUAGCUAAGGAAGGCCUGGAAUGUACAGCCGCUAUAAAUUUUAUUUCACAGUCCUUAAAUGUUUCUGUUUCACAGAUACGAUGAUAAACCGCUGUGGAACCAGGUACUGAUGGAAAAUAAAGUCUUGUGUUUUCUCUGCAUUCUCUGCAUAUUUACUAAUUCCACACUUGCCCUGUGGACAGUCUUUAUCCUUCAACCUUGGGUCCUCUACCAGAGGCCU